rnacentral:rRNA from 1 species
ACGAACGCUGGCGGCGUGCUUAACACAUGCAAGUCGAGCGGUAAGGCCCUUUCGGGGGUACGACGAGCGGCGAACGGGUGAGUAACACGUGGGUGACCUGCCCUUAGCUCUGGGAUAAGCCUGGGAAACUGGGUCUAAUACCGGAUAUGACUCCAUGACGCAUGUUGUGGGGUGGAAAGCCUUGUGCGGCUAGGGAUGGGCCCGCGGCCUAUCAGCUUGUUGGUGGGGUGAUGGCCUACCAAGGCGACGACGGGUAGCCGGCCUGAGAGGGCGACCGGCCACACUGGGACUGAGACACGGCCCAGACUCCUACGGGAGGCAGCAGUGGGGGAAUCUUGCGCAAUGGGCGAAAGCCCUGACGCAGCGACGCCGCGUGAGGGAUGACGGCCUCGG